rnacentral:lncRNA from 1 species
CAGGAGUUCAAGACGGACUACAACCAGACCCACUUCAUCCGCAACCCCGAGUUCAAGGAGGCCGCUGACAAGAUGCAGGGCCCGCUCCGCCAGAUCUUCGUCGAGUUCCUCGAGCGCUCCUGCACCGCCGAGUUCUCCGGGUUCCUCCUCUACAAGGAGCUCGGUCGCAGGCUCAAGGUUCGUGUACCUCUUCUUCUUCUCUGCUUUUUUGCAUGUAGGCAUUUCGUCGAGCAGCUGGUGGGUAUGCGCUGAUGCCGCGUUUCCUUUUCAGAAAACUAACCCCGUGGUGGCUGAGAUCUUCUCGCUCAUGUCCAGGGACGAGGCCCGGCACGCUGGGUAUGUACUUGCGAUCUUAUUCCCAUCAAUACAAUACAAUACAAUUUGAUAGGGCGUAACCAGAAGCCAAAUUUCAAAUGCACUGACUAUGACCAGAAAUGCCUUCUUCUCUCAUGUAAAAAGUUUAAGCUAUUAACUACUGUAAAAUUUCAAAUGCACUAUGACUCAGUUCCGCAAGAAUUAAAUUAUUAACUACUGUAGUUUAGCUCUCGACAUGAUUCGUGUUAUUCAUACAAAUAACAUGAUUCGUGCUGUGUAGGUUCUUGAACAAGGGGCUAUCCGACUUCAACCUGGCUCUGGACCUCGGGUUCUUGACCAAGGCUAGGAAGUACACCUUCUUCAAGCCAAAGUUCAUCUUCUACGCCACGUACCUGUCCGAGAAGAUCGGCUACUGGAGGUACAUCACCAUCUUCAGGCACCUCAAGGCCAACCCGGAGUACCAGGUGUACCCCAUCUUCAAGUACUUCGAGAACUGGUGCCAGGACGAGAACCGGCACGGUGAUUUCUUCUCUGCGCUGCUAAAGGCGCAGCCGCAGUUC